AAUUUCUGGUACGGUGCGCCUGGCCCGCUGCCGCAAGGUACGCGAGUGUCGGUGUGCGUCUGCCAUCUUUGUAGGGAAACUCCUCUUUACUGGGGCGUGGAACUACAUCUUUUACUUUGAAAAAAUUAGAGUGUUUAAAGCAGGCUUGCGCUAUGAAUACAUUAGCAUGGAAUAAUAAUUUAGGACUUCGUUUCUAUUUUGUUGGUUUCUAGGGAUGAAGUAAUGAUUGAUAGGGAUAGUUGGGGGUGCUAGUAUUCAUCGGCCAGAGGUGAAAUUCUUGGAUUCGAUGAAGACUAACUUAUGCGAAAGCAUU
rnacentral:rRNA from 1 species